rnacentral:rRNA from 1 species
UACGUAGGUGGCAAGCGUUGUCCGGAAUUAUUGGGCGUAAAGCGCGCGCAGGCGGUCCUUUAAGUCUGAUGUGAAAGCCCACGGCUCAACCGUGGAGGGUCAUUGGAAACUGGGGGACUUGAGUGCAGGAGAGAAGAGUGGAAUUCCACGUGUAGCGGUGAAAUGCGUAGAGAUGUGGAGGAACACCAGUGGCGAAGGCGGCUCUCUGGGACGGUACUGACGCUGAGACGCGAAAGCGUGGGGAGCAAACAGG